rnacentral:tRNA from 1 species
GUCGGGAUAGCUCARUUGGUAGAGCAGAGGACU